CCCCUCUCAGGGUCACACCUGGAGAGUUUCCAGUACUCUACCAGGCACGACUUCGGGAGGAAAAGUCAAACAGAGGCAGAUUCACUCCAUUCCUAGCUUGGCCAGUGGCUAGUGAGUGGAAGGCCAUCUGCUACAAGU